rnacentral:lncRNA from 1 species
UUCACACUUGGCUGCCUACACUCCUGCUCUAAGAAGCCUGUUUCAAAGAAGCCCACAUUCCCUUGUUGCACGUAGAAGGCUGCAGUUGGAGACGGGACAACUAGGUUCUGGGAAGCCAUGGCAGAAAUCACGCAGACUCUGAUUCCCGCCGAGAACCAGCCUAAAGAACCACUCAUGGCAAGACGGGGGCCCACCGGCCUGCUGGCUCCUCACCAAACUCUACUCCGCAUUGACUGUGGGCUCUUGUUCUAGAGGCACCCGCAUCCUCAGGAUGAAAUCCUCUGAUUCAACAGAAAUCUGGAAGUGUUCACAGCUUGGCCCGGAGAAGAUCGUUUUAAAUCUACAGCUUUAAAAUGUGGUUGAAAAGGAGCCCAGGUUGGAUUCUGCCAGCAGGUCCGCUGGCCGCUGUUACCUCCCCACUGUCAACGCCUAGGUCUCUGCCUCCAGCCCUGUUUCAGCCUGUCCUUGAGGAUUUGCUUCACCUCAUUUACUGAGCUUGCCACAGAUUCAUUACCUGGCAUCAGAGCUCCCCUCUCACUGAGCCUGCCCAGAGGGGUGCCAGUAUACUAGCCAGAUGCCGCUGGAGGGACUCCACAAUAAAGCCUGGCUAUUAAAGACUUCAACAGUCUCAUAAAGUCACUUUGCCAGCUGUAGAGCACACAAGUGCCCACAGAUCCAAGCCUCCUUCCUUCCCCAAAGAAACACCUUGGAUAAAGUCUUGGAAUAUCAUCCAUUAGCACAUGGCUCCAGCCAACACAUGAAUUCCCUUACACCAGCACAUGGUCUCUCUUUCCUGUUCAUUCACUUUGGAAGACAGUCCUUGAAAUGACAAGGCCUGGAGUGUCUUGUACAACCACCGCCAAUCCGGUUUCCAGCAGAGGCUUGUGGGCUAGGGAGUGUAUCGAUUUGUAUUGUUAAAGGAAUUUCCUGCUCCUCUCAGUGUCAGCUGAAGAGCCCUCUGCAGUCAUUCUCCUAUUUUGAGAGAAGAGAAACAAGAGGAGACGAACUCCUGGUUCCUUCCUACGGGGUGUAUAGACCAGUGACAAUGUUAGUCCUACAAUUUGGAUUUAUUUGUUUGUUUUCUAAUCACCGCCACUUCUCCAAGUACAAAGUCUGUGUCUAUAAUUAGAUAUCUUCUACAUGUUACACCGGCAAGUCCAUCUCAUCAUUUUACAGAGGGAUGGUGACUUCCUUUAGCGCCCCAUACUGACCGCGGUCCCUCACCUGCUGACUGAUUGACUUAUAAAUCUGCCCCCCACCCACUUGUCUGUCCAUUGAAGGCAAAUUCGCCAUCGGGAACACAGUAGUUUCUCAAUAACUAUCUAAUGCAUGGCCACCCUUCCCAGGAUUUAGAAUAUCAAAGGGACGUGUUCUUUCCUCCCAAAUCACCUGCCUGCGCUUCCCCCAGCCGGGUGCCCCAGCCUUCACCUCGGUCCGGCCACCACCUCAUCCCGCUUCUUCGCGGCUUCCAGGCCUCGGGCUGGGAUCUCAGCCCCUGCCUGUAGGUGCGGCCCAGAGGGUGCGACACGCGUCGGAGCGGGGCAGCGGAGGAGGGGACAGGGACGCGGCAGCCACACCCGCAUCUCUUUCCCCUCUCGGGCAUCCCCGAGGGCCCUUCUGCCUCCAGUUCCUUGAGCCCCCGAAGCCCCCCAUGCGGCAAGAGCGAGUCGCAGGAACAAGUGGGGAAUCUUGGCCGCGGCCCCCUCCCCCGCCUUAUAAAAAAGAAAUUGACUUUUGUUUGGAGUUUGUGAAAAGUGGGGCUCGGGGCCCAGUCAAUGGGGCGCCCCGCGGCGCGGGCUGAGUGGAGCUAGCGCGAACCGCUCAGCCGCGGCCCCAAUUAAUCCGCCCUUUGUGCGGCCCGCCCGGCCGCCCCCGCCGCAGCCGCACCAGCGGCCCAUUGUUCGGCCUCGCCGGGCCGCGGGAUUUACCCUUUUCAAACAGCCGGUUUUGUC